CGGCGAGUACGAAGCGGCAACAGCUCAAAUUUGAAAUCUGGCUUCGGCCCGAGUUGUAAUUUGCAGAGGAUGUUUCUGGCGCGGUGCCUUCCGAGUUCCCUGGAACGGGACGCCACAGAGGGUGAGAGCCCCGUAUGGUCGGACACCAAGCCUGUGUGAAACUCCUUCAACGAGUCGAGUAGUUUGGGAAUGCUGCUCUAAAUGGGAGGUAAAUCUCUUCUAAAGCUAAAUACCGGCCAGAGACCGAUAGCGCACAAGUAGAGUGAUCGAAAGAUGAAAAGCACCUUGAAAAGGGGGUUAAAUAGUACGUGAAAUUGUUGAAAGGGAAGCACUUAUGACCAGACUUGGGCCGGGCGGCUCAUCAGGGGUUCUCCCCUGUGCACUCCGCCCGGCACAGGCCAGCAUCGGUUUUCGCGGGGGGAUAAGACCGACGGGAACGUAGCACCCUCCGGGGUGUGUUAUAGCCCGGCGGACGAUACCCUCGCGGGGACCGAGGUUCGCGCUUCCGCAAGGAUUGGCCUUGGGCCGCUUAAAAUUGGGGGUCCAAUUUAAA
rnacentral:rRNA from 1 species